AUGAACGCUGGCGGCGUGCCUCAUACAUGCAAGUCGAGCGAACGGACGAGAAGCUUGCUUCUCUGAUGUUAGCGGCGGACGGGUGAGUAACACGUGGAUAACCUACCUAUAAGACUGGGAUAACUUCGGGAAACCGGAACUAAUACCGGAUGAUAUUUUGAACCGCAUGGUUCAAAAGUGAAAGACGGUCUUGCUGUCACUUAUAGAUGGAUCCGCGCUGCAUUAGCUAGUUGGUAAGGUAACGGCUUACCAAGGCAACGAUGCAUAGCCGACCUGAGAGGGUGAUCGGCCACACUGGAACUGAGACACGGUCCAGACUCCUACGGGAGGCAGCAGUAGGGAAUCUUCCGCAAUGGGCGAAAGCCUGACGGAGCAACGCCGCGUGAGUGAUGAAGGUCUUCGGAUCGUAAAACUCUGUUAUUAGGGAAGAACAUAUGUGUAAGUAACUGUGCACAUCUUGACGGUACCUAAUCAGAAAGCCACGGCUAACUACGUG
rnacentral:rRNA from 1 species